AUGAAUGCUGCUCUCACCGUCGCCGUAGCCGGGGAAGAAAUCGACGAGGCCGUAGCCGGGGAAGAAAUCGACGAGGCCGCCUCUCGGGCUCAGGCUGACAUGUCGGAGAUCAUGUCGUCGCUCCCACGGUGCCCGGUGUACCUUACUCACCACUACCGCGGCUUCUGGAUCCGCGAGUUCGUCCUCAAGGGCAUGGCCGCCGCUCAGGCAUCCUUCGAGCCAAGGCCAACCGACGUCUUCCUCGCCAGCUGCCCCAAGUCCGGCACCACCUGGCUCAAGGCGCUCGCCUUUGCGACGCUCAACCGCGCCACGCACUUGCCGUCCGACUCCAACCACCCGCUAUGCCACCGCAACCCGCACGACUGCGUCGCCUUCCUCGAGACCAGGCCCGUGCCUGAGACCAUGGCGCUCCCUUCUCCCCGGCUGCUCGCAACCCACAUCCCCUGCUCCCUCCUGCCCAGCCGCAUAACGGAAUGCGGCCGGGUCGUCUACGUGUGCCCGGAGCCAAAGGACGCUCUGGUCUCCUUCUGGAUCUACAACAACAAGAUCGCGCCGAUGCUGCGCCGGAAGUUCGGCCUGGAGUCUCCCUCGCCCACGUUCGAGGAGGCGUUCGAGCUCUUCUGCGAGGGGCAGAGCAGCUUCGGACCGCCGUGGCGCCACGCCCUCGAGUACUGGGAGGAGAGCCGGAGGAGGCCUGGGAAGGUGCUCUUCCUCAGGUACGAGGACAUGCUGCAAGACCCCACAGGCAACACCAAGAAUCUCGCUGCGUUCAUGGGGUGCCCGUUUUCUUGCGCGGAGGAGGAGGCAGGGGUGGUGCAGGAGAUCGUGCAGCUCUGUAGCUUUGAGAAACUCAAGAGCUCGGAGGUGAACAAGAAUGGCAGCAGCGCCAUGAUGGGCGUCAACAACGACGUAUACUUCAGGAAGGGAGCGGUCGGCGACUGGAAAAACUACAUGACGCCGGAGAUGGCGGCGCGGCUGGACAAGAUCGUCGAGGAGGCGCUUCAAGGUUCAGGCCUGACCUUUGGCAUCUCCAUGUAG
rnacentral:rRNA from 1 species